rfam:Myotis lucifugus cont2.63370, whole genome shotgun sequence.
GGUGGUUCUUGGGUGAAGCACCCCAGAAUCGGGCUCCCUCCUCUCUGGUUCCGGGUGCGUCACCUGAGAGAACUGCA